UGUAGGGAACAGAGCAGAAGGAGUCAGACAGGCUGGUUUCCAUGGCCUUGGGGCCGGUCACUUCCUUCUGUGAUUCCCAUGUUCCUCAUUUGAAGCGUGAAGAGAGUCCCCUUGGCCUUAAAAGGCACAUCUUCUCCGUUCAUUCAUUCAUUCACUCAUUCAUAGAAGAUGGCGUUUCCUAAGGAAUAGAUUGCUCUGUAUAGCGUCUAUCUUUGGGGGGGGGGCGUAAAAUGGGGUCAUUUGGUAGACAUAUUAUUUGCUCAGCAAACAUUUACUUGCCUAGCCCUCCCCACUUGGAGAGGGAUAGAAUUUCCUCACUCUGUUGAUAUUAGAUUUAGCCAUGUGACUUGCUGGAGACAGAAUACAGGCGGAAGCGGCAGCAGCCAGCUCCGGAGUCGCUGAGCCUCCCCUUUCCCACCUCUUGAGCAAUUGUCCUUGGCCAUGAGAAUACCAGAUAGCGGGAGUCCUUCAGCCGGACAAAGAAGGAGCAGACAAGGGAGACAGCUGUGUGUGACCCAAAGCUCGGAGGCCAGCCCGACCCAGCUAACCCACGGUGCUGAGAUUGAAUUUAGGGGCCUUGCACGUCUGGUCAAUCACUCCAGGACUGAUCUCCAUCCCUGUCUCUGGUUCUUGUAGUUCGCCGGUCUCACUGAGAAGCACAGGAACUGUCUACCCUGUGCUGUGAGGACAGGAACUCUUAUUGGAGCUCAUCAAAUAGUCUGCAGGGUCCCGAGUGGCCUUUCUGCCUCUGCCCUGUCCUCUCAGUGAUGGCAGCCUUGAAACUGUCUUCUGAGUUAUGGCAGCUACGCCCACAGGACUGGGUGACCCAGUGGGUCCUGGACAAUCUUCCUGUGGGUAUGCAGUCUUCGUUCUCCCAAAGCCUGGAGUCCUUGAGCAUCUCUCUUGCGGUAGAUGCCUCUGGAAGCUGCUUCUUCCACAAUGGCUGAAGGAAGUCUCCCCAGCGCCAAGCCACACUGCUCUGAAAGCCAUCCUUGAACGAAUGACCUGCUAAGAGUGCAGUUUUCGCUCCCUCUCUCCCGGACUUUGAUUUGAUCAGGCCAAAUCUGAAAUGAUGUGUGAAAGUAAUGAUAUUUGGUAAUUAAAUCUCUGGUGACGGCCACUGCAAUUUGUGCUACAUGCAUUGUUCAUAAGGAAAAAAAAAAACCCGCAUCAAUUCAUUUUCUGACCGGCUACUCCAGGGACUAGCAAUUAGGGGCUGCUCAUCGCUCUCGUCGCCUCGCAUAUUAAAGAGCUACUGAAACGCAAAGAGAAUUUGGGAGGGUUUCCCCCCUCCCAACCUUCUAAUAAUGUUAGCUUAAUUAGGGAGGUUCAGUGAUAAAGGGGCACUUUGUGAUGAUUUGAGCAAACCAAUGGUGGAGAGGAGAGAGUGAGCUAACAGGGAGGAAGGUUGGGGUGAGGUUUGGGGCUGUUCCACCCUGGGGCACCUGGUGGUGAGUAAGGACAAAGAGUUCUGGACAUCCCAGUGAAGUUCUGCUUCCUUCCCCACCUUGGGUC
rnacentral:sRNA from 1 species